UAGAGUUUGAUCAUGGCUCAGGACGAACGCUGGCGGCGGGCUUAACACAUGCAAGUCGCGGGAGAAUCUGGGUCUUCGGACCCAGAGGAGACCGGCGGAUGGGUGAGUAACGCGUAGGUAAUCUGCCUUCAGGACGGGGAUAACCCACCAAAAGGUGAGCUAAUACCGGAUGAUGCAGCGGGGCCGCAUGGCCACAGUUGUUAAAUCCUUCGGGAGCCUGGAGAUGAACCUGCGUGCCGUUAGCUAGUUGGUAGGGUCAAGGCCUACCAAGGCGAUGAUGGCUAGGGGGUCUGAGAGGAUGAUCCCCCACACUGGGACUGAGACACGGCCCAGACUCCUACGGGAGGCAGCAGUGAGGAAUCUUGCGCAAUGGGGGCAACCCUGACGCAGCCACGCCGCGUGCUGGAAGACGGCCCUAUGGGUUGUAAACAGCUUUUGAUGGGGAAGAACCUGGACCGUUCGCGGACCACUGACGGUACCCAUCGAAUAAGCACCGGCUAACUCCGUGCCAGCAGCCGCGGUAAUACGGAGGGUGCAAGCGUUGUCCGGAAUCAUUGGGUGUAAAGGGUGUGCAGGCGGAAGUCUAAGUCGGAGGUGAAAUCUUGCCGCUUAACGGUAAAAGGGCCUUCGAAACUGGAUUUCUUGAGUUCGGAAGAGGUUGGUGGAAUUCGUGGUGUAGCGGUGAAAUGCAUAGAUAUCACGAAGAACACCGGUGGCGAAGGCGGCCAACUGGUCCGAUACUGACGCUGAGACACGAGAGCGUGGGGAGCGAACAGGAUUAGAUACCCUGGUAGUCCACGC
rnacentral:rRNA from 1 species